GAUGAACGCUGGCGGCGUGCUUAACACAUGCAAGUCGAACGAAGCACUUAAGAUUGCUUCUUCGGAUGACGUCUUUUGUGACUUAGUGGCGGACGGGUGAGUAACGCGUGGGUAGCCUGCCUCACACAGGGGGAUAACAGUUAGAAAUGACUGCUAAUACCGCAUAACCCGAUAGGAUCGCAUGAUCCAGACGGAAAAGAUUUAUCGGUGUGAGAUGGACCCGCGUCUGAUUAGCUAGUUGGUGAGGUAACGGCCCACCAAGGCGACGAUCAGUAGCCGGCCUGAGAGGGUGAACGGCCACAUUGGGACUGAGACACGGCCCAAACUCCUACGGGAGGCAGCAGUGGGGAAUAUUGCACAAUGGGGGAAACCCUGAUGCAGCGACGCCGCGUGAGUGAAGAAGUAUUUCGGUAUGUAAAGCUCUAUCAGCAGGGAAGAAAAUGACGGUACCUGACUAAGAAGCCCCGGCUAACUACGUG
rnacentral:rRNA from 1 species